UGAAGUUAAUGCUAUGAAUAAUUAUUGAUAUUUUAUUAUUUAUUAUCUCCAAAGCUGCUCUCCUUUUUCAUUUUCAUUUCUCUGUCCCAGCUUCUUUUUUAUCCCUUCCUUGGAUCAACCACGGUCUGGAAGCCUGUGCCAGGUUUCUCCUCAAUCUAAUGCGCCUUAGUUCCACCCACCCAAAGGUGCAAGUACUGCGCAGAGGAAGGGGGCGGACUCUGCUGGCUAUGUCUCUUCUCGGCCACCGUAACGCGAGCGCCUCAGGGCCAGAGGGAGCCCCCCCACCCCCGUUGCCCGGACAACCGACUCCACCGCCGCCGGUGUCACCCUGCGGGCGGCUCCCUGGCCCCGGAGUGGCGCUGCUGGCCUGAGGCGGAGGAGGCCCAGAACCAGUUCGGAGGGUGCGAAGCGCUGGUCUCUGAGUGGGUUCAAGGCUCUGCCCAGAGGGACGAUCCCCGCCCCUUGCUGAUCUGGGUGCAGCAGAACUCAGGAGGUCCGCCUGUUUGGCGGAGGGGUUUGGGGUCAGCAGAGCGGCAUCUCAACAUCUUCUGUGGGCUGUCCAGAGUGAUUAAUCAAAGGCUAAAGAUCUGAAGGCAUGAUGGGAAGAGAAAAAAACUAAACCAGCCCUGCUCAGCAAUGCAACAGGCGUGAUGGAGGUUGAAUCCUCAUACACAGACUUCAUCUCCUGUGACCGAACAGGCCGGAGGAACGCUGUCCCAGACAUCCAGGACGACUCAGCGGCAGUGAGCAUGAGGAAGCUGACGGGGGACAUGGGGGACCUGGCACUAGAAGGAGCAGAAGGACAGGCAGAGAGAAGCACAUCUGACAAGGAAACUGGUACCAGGCCUGAGGGGAGUGAGGGGACUACCACCUCCUGAGAGCUGCCUUUGCCCUGUUCCCUUUGUCCAGUGGCUGAAGGAAGAAACAAGCUGCCUGGGCUUCCUAAGAGGCAAACUUUCUGGCAUUCUCCCCAAGGACUACUUCCCUGCCCUACAGCAACUCUUCUGGGCACAGUGAAGCCAUGUGGGCUUCUGCAGACUUCCCUUUUCUUCUGCUCCACCCCCCAACCACAGAGGAAGCCUGUACUCCGGGCAGCUUUGCCCUGCUAUGGGGCCAUUGGUCUGAGGUCAGCCUCCAGAGGUGCUUUCCGAGCCCUCCCCCAGCCUAGGGAAUUGUGUGGCUUUGCCUACCAGGAAUUCCCUUUUCCAGGUCCACUUAGAUUAUAUACUGUAUUUGGCAAUUCAAAACGUAAUUUAUUUGGUUUGUACCUGUGGCACGGGAAUGGGGAGGUGCCACCUGCUCCCUUCCUUUGGAGGGCAGGUGGAAGCUAGGUCCCCUCCCUGGUCCUCUUGGGGGAGCCAUCAGCAGAGGCUUCAUGCCUCACCUUGACCCACUCAAUCCAGCUCAUUAAAUUCUGAGUGCCUACUCUGUUCAAGGCUCUGAAGAAAGCAAAAGAUGAGUCACAUCUGAUUGCUGGACUUAAUGUUUCAUCGCCCUUAGGACCAAAGGAGGGAUCCUUCCCAGCCCACAUAUCCAUUCCUUUUUACUCUUUUUAAACGUUUGACUUUAAAUAUUAGCCACCUUUUUUUCAGGGGGAGGGGAUGUAAAAAGGGGAGGGGGAGAUAGUGAAGACCAGCAGUUUAUCUCUGUGGGUUGCAGGGUGGUGACAAAGCACAGGGUGAAGGGGUGGGGGGUGGGUUAAUCAAUUCUUUGAUCUGUUUAGCUCAGACAAUGAUUCUCAAACUUCCAGACCCAUUCUUAAGGGAAUAACUUUAUUUCUCAAUUUGACUAAUUUGUGUCACCUUUCUACAAAGAUACUUGAUGCCUACCAGUGGAAAAUAAAUUCAAACCUUUUGUGUGAUUGAUUUUCCUU
rnacentral:lncRNA from 1 species